AGUCACAUGCUUGCAUCUUAGUCCAAUCACUGUGGCCUGGAGGAUGGGACACCAUGAUUUGCAAGACUCUGGUCACAUGCCCACACCUGUGGCUUCUGAAGCAGAGCACCAGCAGUGACAGUCCCACCAGAACCGCAUGGAAUAGAAAACUGUGCAUUUCCCUAAGGAAAGGGAAUGCCAGAGAAGGGCAGAAGGGAAAUCAGGAAGACAAAACGGUAAAUUACCUACCACAAAUCCAAUUCAUUGGUAUUUUUCCACUUACACUUAACCAAGCAACGAUUUCUCCUGGUCCCAUAAUGGAAAAGAGGGUUUAUCUAGAUUCAUAUAUACAAGACUGAAGAGUGAAGAGAGACCCAGAGAAUGUUCUAAAAUCUGCCAGUUAGCAUAAUCACACAGAGAAAUCUCUGCUUCCAGAGGAGGAGCCAAGUUCAAGUCAGAGUGUCUUCAUGUUGGAGUGGACCUUUCCUCUAUCUGUCAACAGAAUGGAUAAAUUGUGGAAGAGUAAUAUCAGAAUACUACACAUCAGUAAAAAACAACAAACUUCUGCUACAAACAAUCAACAUCGAUGAAUCUUUCAGGCAAAAGGUUAUAGAAACAGAUGAUCAGUGGCCCACGGAUUCCAGGUGAGGAUCUGGGACCCAGACAUCCAGAUAUUGAAAACACAGGGAUGGAGUCUGUAUGGAAAAAAUUAAAAUAUAGCAAAAUGUGAAAUACGGAAGAGAAAUCUUUCAAUUUCCCAAUGGAAGUGAGAAAAGAGCAAAGAAAAGUAUUGGUCUUCCAAAACAAAUAGAGGACGGAGCUGCUGCUGUUGCAUGGUGUCUAGAAACUCAGACAACUUCAUCAUUCCAUAUUUGCAUCCAAGAGAGAGAAAGAAAAACUACAAUCAUUUUCCAUUUACCCAUCAACCCAUCAACCUCCAACCCUUGCAGGAUAGAACAUAGGAGUCUGGGAGUCUGCAAGAAGAGACAGGGUCUCACUAUGUUGCCCCAGUUGGCCUUGAACUGCUGGACUCAAGGGAUCCUCCUGCCUCAGCAUCCUGAGUAGCUGGGUCUACAGGCAUGAACCACCAGGCCCAGAACCCUGUCUUUUGAAAGCCAUAUGCGAUCUGUCUGCCCUGAAGUGACUACUUCAUCUCCAACCAGCCCUUGGCUGGCAAAGUCAGGAAGACUCCAGUCUUUCCUGAAGACCAGGGGAGAGUUUAUAACUCUAGCAUCAAAGUCAGCAGCUGUUCAUCUAGAAGACAACUUCCCAAAAGUCAAUGUCUUUGCCUGAAGCUUUUCUUCCCAGAUCUCCUAUGGUGAAACAACCAAAGGGAAGAAGAAUGUGGGCAGCCCUCAGUAAGACAGGAGAUGAGCAUCAACAUUGACCCAUUCUUUCUUCCAGUCCUCGAUGCUUACCUUGUACAUUCUUCUUUGUCUUCCGACUCAGUGCCUUUAGGGUAUGGACGUUGCCUGGUCCCACACAAGCCAAGCAUCAAAUGGAUGGCUCAACAAGGAGGCCAAGACCAGCUAAUGUUUAGUGAGCACCCAAAGGGGCCACACUGGAGAGAACAGCACAGCUCCGUCUGAGAAACAGCUGUUCCUUCCUGCCUGAGAGGCAGAGUGAUAGAAGAUAUCACAGAAUGUUGCUGCUUUGUCUUCCACCCUGAACCCUCCACGACCUCCCUGUAGCUUCCUGAUUUUAAGUAGACAUCAAAUGAUUCUUAAUCCUUUCUGGGUCUUGGAACGAUUUGAAAAUUGUCAACAGUACUGGGAUUCCCAGAAUAAUGCACAUAUGUACAUACUCAGAUAUUCCCCAAGCCCUGGAUAUAAUUUUAAGGGAGUUCACAGACCACACUCCCCCACCCAUCUGUGGACCCAGAUUCUGUGGGUUCGAGAUUCAGAAGCCCUGUUUCUAGGCAGGCCCUCUGUUGCUAACGCCCCUCGAGAACAUCACCCUAGAUGAUUAUCCCUUCUUCCUCCACUCCUUCCCACCUUCUCCAACUGCUGGGUUUCAGCACAAAGAUUGCUUGCCAGUUAAACUGGCACCAUGGACCGCACAGUAGUUGUUUCUUGGGUCUAGAGGAAACAGCCAGAUUCCUUUAAGUAAAUCAUGUCUUAGUUA
ensembl:lncRNA LINC02290 long intergenic non-protein coding RNA 2290